UUAUUAAUUAUGCAGCCUAAGUUUAUUACCAUAAGUUUAAGAAAACUUGACGAGUAGCAUUAGCCUAAUCUAAAAUAUUCAUACUUUUACUUUAGUUUUUGCGUGCGUAACUAACAAAACUAUAAUUAAUUUAAUUAAUUAAAAGACUUGGCAUGCAGUCUUGAGUAGUUGAAACGUAAAGUCUUGGUAUACAGUCUAUAUGUGUGUGCCAGCGUAG
rnacentral:misc_RNA from 1 species